rnacentral:rRNA from 1 species
AGUACCGAAGUUCCGGAUUUCACGCUGCCAAGAAAAGCCUCUAGCAAGGAAACGGGUGCCCGUACCGCAAACCGACACAGGUAGGCGAGGAGAGAAUCCUAAGGUGAUCGGGAGAACUCUCGUUAAGGAACUCGGCAAAAUGACCCCGUAACUUCGGGAGAAGGGGUGCUUCUUUUGCGAGAAGCCGCAGUGAAAAGGCCCAAGCGACUGUUUAGCAAAAACACAGGUCUCUGCGAAGCCGAAAGGCGAAGUAUAGGGGCUGACACCUGCCCGGUGCUGGAAGGUUAAGGGGAUGCGUUAGCUUCUGCGAAGCGUUGAACCGAAGCCCCAGUAAACGGCGGCCGUAACUAUAACGGUCCUAAGGUAGCGAAAUUCCUUGUCGGGUAAGUUCCGACCCGCACGAAAGGUGCAACGACUUGGGCACUGUCUCAACGAGAGACCCGGUGAAAUUAUACUAUGUGUGAAGAUGCACAUUACCCGCGACAGGACGGAAAGACCCCGUGGAGCUUUACUGUAGCCUGAUAUUGAAUGUUGGUACAGCUUGUACAGGAUAGGUGGGAGCCUGAGAUGCGUGAGCGCUAGCUUACGUGGAGGCGCCGGUGGGAUACCACCCUGGCUGUAUUGACCUUCUAACCCAGAACCGUGAUCCGGUUCGGAGACAGUGUCAGGUGGGCAGUUUGACUGGGGCGGUCGCCUCCCAAAAUGUAACGGAGGCGCCCAAAGGUUCCCUCAGAAUGGUUGGAAAUCAUUCGCAGAGUGUAAAGGCAGAAGGGAGCUUGACUGCGAGACCUACAAGUCGAGCAGGGACGAAAGUCGGGCUUAGUGAUCCGGCGGUACCGAAUGGAAGGGCCGUCGCUCAACGGAUAAAAGCUACCCCGGGGAUAACAGGCUUAUCUCCCCCAAGAGUCCACAUCGACGGGGAGGUUUGGCACCUCGAUGUCGGCUCAUCGCAUCCUGGGGCUGUAGUCGGUCCCAAGGGUUGGGCUGUUCGCCCAUUAAAGCGGUACGCGAGCUGGGUUCAGAACGUCGUGAGACAGUUCGGUCCCUAUCCGUCGUGGGCGUUGGAAGUUUGAGAGGAGCUGUCCUUAGUACGAGAGGACCGGGAUGGACACACCGCUGGUGCACCAGUUGUUCCGCCAGGAGCAUCGCUGGGUAGCUACGUGUGGCAGGGAUAAGUGCUGAAAGCAUCUAAGCAUGAAGCCCCCCUCAAGAUGAGACUUCCCAUCUAUUCGAUAGAGUAAGAUCCCUCAGAGACGAUGAGGUAGAUAGGUUCGAGGUGGAAGCAUGGUGACAUGUGCAGCUGACGAAUACUAAUCGAUCGAGGACUUAACUAU